rnacentral:tRNA from 1 species
GGAUUGUGGCUCAGCGGUAGAGCACUCACCUAAUACGUGUAAGGCCCUGGGUUUGAUCCUCAGACCA